rnacentral:rRNA from 1 species
UUUAUCUAUAAGUCUUGACUAAAUCAUGUGCCAGCCGUCGCGGUAAGACAUGGAAGACAAGCGUUAUUCAUCUUAAACAGGUUUAUAGGGUACUCAGACAGUUAAUUAAGCCUAAAUAAGGGACUGAUUCAACUAGAGUUUUAUAGAAGAAGGCUAGAACGGUAUGUGGAGAGAUGCAAUAUAUUGAUACAUACUAAAAUCUGACAACGGCGAAGGCAACCUUUUAUGUAAAAACUGACGUUAAAGGACGAAGGCUACAAAAAAUUAAUAGGAUUAGAUACCCUAGUAUUCGUAGCAGUAAAUGAUGAAUGUCAUAGGUAAGUAGUAUUAUUUACGUAUAAAUGAAAGUGUAAGCAUUCCACCUUAAGAGUAACACGGCAACGUAGGAAUUGAAAUCAUUAGACCGUUUCUGAGAACAGUAGUGAAGUAUGUUAGUUAAAUUGAUGAUCCACAAAGAACCUUACCACAAUUUGAAUGUUAAUUCACAGGAGUUGCACGGCUGUCUUCAGUUGAUAUCGUGAGAUUUUGGUUAGCUCCAUUUAAUCAACGUAAACCCUUACUUUAAUUUAUACAUAAAGUAGUUCUCCAUUAUAUUGG